GACGAACGCUGGCGGCGUGCUUAACACAUGCAAGUCGAACGGAAAGGCCCUGCUUUUGUUGCGUGCUCGAGUGGCGAACGGGUGAGUAACACGUGAGUAACCUGCCCUUGACUUUGGGAUAACUUCAGGAAACUGGGGCUAAUACCGUAUAGGAGCUCCUGCUGCAUGGUGGGGGUUGGAAAGUUUCGGCGGUUGGGGAUGGACUCGCGGCUUAUCAGCUUGUUGGUGGGGUAGUGGCUUACCAAGGCUUUGACGGGUAGCCGGCUUGGGAGGGUGACCGGCAACAUGGGGACUGGGAUACGGCCAGGACUCCAACGGGAGGCAGCAGUGGGAAAUAUUGCAAAAUGGGCGGAAGCCUGAUGAAGCACCGCUGCGUGCGGGAUGAGGGCUUUCGGGUUGUAACCCGCUUCAGCCGGUGACGAAGCGUGAGUGACGGUAAUGGGUAAAGAAGCACCGGCUAACUACGUG
rnacentral:rRNA from 1 species